rnacentral:lncRNA from 1 species
AAAAGCCACACAAAAGGCUACUGCGGAACACUUCUAAUUUUGGCUUCCGGGAUCCUGCUCCACGUUCUUUCUGACUAGCUUGCUAACGUGCUAAAGACAGGGAAGAUCUGUGACGGGGGCGUCACAUGUCCUGUGUUUAUCUGGCUUCGCUGGUAACGGGCCGUGUGACUGGACAAGUCAUUUGCCAAGGAUUAGAGGAGAUGAGCUAAGGGCUCCUUGCCCUGCCACCCUCUAUGAUUCUGAAGGUCACCCCUCCUGAUACGUAUAAUCAUUGUGUGCAUAUUUUGAAAAGUCCUGGUUAUUUCAAAGUGUGUAUUUACCCAUUGUUUUGUCAAAUAUUGACUACUUCCAUACAGGUGGGCAAACAGGCAUUCCCUGAGCCCUCCAGUGGCUCCUGCCCUCACUGCCCCAGCCCUCCUCGACCUCAGCCGGAUCCAGCAGCUCCAGAACUGGCCCCCUGCCCCAACAGGGACUCACCAGCACCUGGCUCUUUUGUGCAGACCAGCGUUAGUUGAGAUUGGCUGGCCUUCCACUUCUCAUCUUCUAAUAUGUAUAAUUUUUCACAUUUCAACAUUUCUGAAAUGGAUUGUGGCUUAAAGUUGAUGGCAUCUUAGAGUCGAUGACAUCCAUAGCUGACCCACCCGGCACUCGCAUGCCAGGAACAUCAGUGGGCUCCGGUUCCUUGGCUGUUUCUCUGAGAGCUGAUCUUCUGGAGAAGUGAACAGAUUUAUGGAAAGCAGCGUUGAGGCAUCAUGUGCUGGCGGGAGGAUUUCGACAAAGGCCAGAACCUUGAAAGACGACAGAUGACGAGGAGGCCCCUGCCCCUGGGUUCCGGCGGAUGCUCUUGUUGAGUUCAGGGCGUGAGGGGCACUUCCUAGGACACCCCCGUGGGGCUGCCCAGGUAGAGACACAGCAGGAAGGCAGCUGUCUCCAAGCCAGGAAGUGGGCUCUCACCAGCAACCAAAUCUGCCAGCACCUUGAUCUUGGGCUUCCAGCCUCCAGAACU